CAGUGCCUUCUCCUACUCCCCAUCCUACCGCGCCCCCCCCCCCCCCAUCUUCAAGACUGUUAUUCUCUCCACCCAUGGUUCUGGUGCCUCACUUUUGACUUCACCCAACAUCUUGUUACAGGGCUGCUGUCCUUUCUAGUUGAGGAUUAGCCCAGGCUUUAUAAAUCCCUGAUCCAGGUUACUACACCAACCUCUUGACUAGUCUCCCUCUAAUCCUCCUUCUAAUGUGCAAAUCUGUUAUUUCUAGAACUGUGUGGAUGCUUCACCCAGACCCUUUGGAAUCUCUUUUUGUUGCUUCUUCAGAUCCAGAUUACUUCUGAUGUGCAUUCAAAAGCCAGAGGCUCUUUAUCAAACUAUCCCUUGGGCCAAUAAAGCUGUUUUGCCUAAAUAAAGCUGAAAAGGCAGGUGGGGGGCUGGGAGGAGUGGGGGUGGGGUGGGGACACGCCUGGGUGGCUCAGCCUAGGUGGCUCAGUUGAUUUCAUAUCCAUCCGACUCCCACUUUUGGCUCAGGUCAUGAUCUCAGGGUCAUGAGAUCAAGCCCUGUGGUGGGGUCUGGGCUCAGUACAGAUUCUGCUUGGGAUUCUCUCUGUCCUCUUCUCUCUCUCAAAUAAGUAAAUAAAAUCUUAAAAAAGCAAAGGGAAGUUUUCAGUUUGGAAGUUUAAGUACCUAUCCACCCCUACUUUCCAAUACAGACAUUAACCAAUGAUUAUCAAGCAGAGUUCAUCAAUGACUGUGGAACUUAGCUCUCUUGCCUCCAACUCUAAGGCAGAACUUACUAGCUAGCCCUGCACUUUUGCCUGAGAUGAUAUCCUUGUCUGGCCUCCUGCCCUUCCCUUUCCUGCUUCUCCUACUCCCUAACUGGAGCACUUUCUCAACAAAUCACAUAGACACAAAGCCUCCUUUCAGCGUCUGCUUCUAGGAAAUCCAACCGGAAACAUCUCUGCCCUGCUGAAAAUCUGUCCAUGGAUUCGUGCUGCCUACAGGAUAAAAGCCUGUAUUUCCUGGCCAGACUCCAAGCACGUCCCCUGCGCCACAGCCAGCAGGAUUUUCAGCCUGCUUCCUGGCAAUAUCCUGGACGGAGCCACGAGGCCUCUGAGCUCUGGAGGCAGGCACGGCUCCAGCCGGUGGAAGAAGGGAGAAGGAAGGCUGGUUCCGGUGGGGAGGACAGCAUGCGCAGAGAAGCAAAGGACUCGGAGUGCUUGCAGUGUGCCAGAGCUCGGCGCUCACGUGGCCGGGGCGUGUCCGGGAGAGGGUUGCUGUAGUGGCCCAGAGGCGGAGGCGUCUGGGCAGGACUUCACCCCAACUGACCUGGCUGUCUUGGCCCCCGGCUCGGCCUAAACUCGUUGCUGACACUUGGCGGCGGAGGGUGGACAUGCACCCGGGCGUUUCAUAACACUCGUGCACAGUCCACCACUGCUUGGGCACUCUUUGAUGAGUCGUGUGUUGUAUUAAUUUAAUCUUCAUAGCAACCCAUGAGGCAGCAACUAUUAUUAUUAUUUUACAGAACGAUUAAAAGACUUGUUCUGCUCUUUUCUCUCUGUCCUUACCCCCCACACGCAAUGGCUCCAGCCACACUGUCCUCCCUGUUGCUCCCUAAGCAAAGCAGGUAGGUUCUGCCUCAGAGCCUCUUACUGGCUGUCCUCUCUGUCUGGAACGCCCUUCCCUAGAUACCCACAUAGCUGACCCCUCACCUCCUUCAAGCCUUCCCCCAAAUGUCAACUGAAUGAAGCCCACACUGACCAUCCUAUUUGAACUUGCAGUCACCUCCAUUCCCCUCACUCUAGUUUUUAUUUUAUUUGUAGCAUUUGUCACCAACAAGAUCCUAUAUACUUUAUGUAUUGAUUGUGCACUUUUUCAUCUUUUUAAAAGGAUUUACUUAUUUAUUUGUUUGAAAGAGUAGGGGGAGGGGCAGAAGGAGAAGGAGAGAGAGAAUCUCAGGCAGA